UAUUCUCCCUACUGGGCAGCCACCAAAAAUGUUCUCUUCACCACUAAGUUCAUCCUCCCCUCGAUUAGAUCUAUGCUUAUCAUUGGAUAGGGAAUUUAAAUACUAUCAGUAAGUUUAAAUUCCUUCUUUGGCUUUGCUCACACAGUCGGCUUCCCACUGCGAGUUAUCUUCAUUCUUUAAAUAAAGUCCAUAACCCCCUUUGCCCUCUUUGUAAAUAUGAAGAAGAAUUUGUUGUUCAUAUUUUUAUUGAGUGCUUUACUGCUAAAAACUUUUGGUUGGACCUAAGUUUAAACAAUCUUUUGAAUUUUUCUAGUUCCCACUUGUUAACUGUUUUACGGGAACAAAAUUCCCCUACCUUUCAUCAUACUUCACAGCCCGUAACGGGUUAUAAAUUGAUUAAUUUUCUCUCAUUUGUAAUUUGGCAUCUUUGGACCAUAAGAAAUAACAAUGUGUAUAAGCAAACUACCACCUUAUCUUCGGUUCCUUUGGUUAUGAAUAGAGUUAUGGAAUUCGUUCUCCUCACGGAUUGUGAAAGUAACACUGACUCUCCAAUUCAUAUCCAAGUUAGGUGGCUAAAAUCAUCUCCAGGUUUCCUCAAGCUCAAUACGGAUGCCUCCUUUAAGAAACAAUGUACCAAUAGUGGUAUUGGAAGGGGGAGGGGGGUCAUACGAAACUCUAACGGUGGUUGUUGAUUUUUCGGGCUCUUGUGCAGCCGUCAAUGCUUAUGCCAAAUUUUUAGCACUUCUUCAAGGGCUCCAACUAGCCCAUGAUCGACAACUUUUCCCCUUGAAGUUGAAUUUGACUCUACUGAGUUACGUUUGUGCACAAAGCUCCCGCACUCUAUAAUUCUUUGGUUUGGUCUUGCAGGUAGAUACUGAAGAAGUUGGGGAAUCCAGUAUCCCAUCAUAGCUUUCGGAAAACAAAUGGAGUUGCUGAUGGUUUGUCUAUAAUUGGUGCUAAACUACAAGGGCCU
rnacentral:lncRNA from 1 species